rnacentral:lncRNA from 1 species
CCAAGAGGAGGAUGGGGCGAACUUUCCAGCUAGAGUUUGACCUAAGGAAGGAUUUCAAAACUUACCCCUGCAAUGCUUUAACAGCAUUCAAGUCAAAUGGAGGCUUUUCAUACAGUGAAAUCCACAGUAGCUCUCUGUGGUAUGUAGGGCUACUAGCCAGAUAUACCUGAAAGCAAGCGCUUGCCUUGCUCUCCCUCUGCCACAGAACGAUGACACAGGGAUAACAAAGGGAAAUACCAGGGAAUGUCAAGUCAAACAAAUCGUAGAUCUUCUCUGGCGGCUUCUUUGACCUUGUUCUGAGUGAACACCGUGUACAUCAAGGAAGAUAAUUACAACUUUUUCAAGUCUUCUAAAAUCGAAUCAAGAGCUGCCAACAGCUAGGCCCAGUGAAAUGUGGAAAUCACUCAUGUCUUCCUACCUUGUAAUAAGCCUAACCUCUUAGGUUAUUUCCUGGCCUCCCUUCUGUGACCUUUGACCAAGGCCAACCUUUAGCUGGAGAAUGUGACAUUUUGUUCUCCUCUGGCUGACAUGUGAUGCUCUCAUUAUUCAAAGAUUAUCUCCUUUUGAUAUCUCUGCUUAGAGGAAUACAGAAUGUGGCCACAUGUUACUCUUCUACCAAUGUCAGGAUAAAGCAUGCAUUAGGAUCCCUCAGUGGAGAACUAUGUCCAUUCCAUGCUCCUUCCAACUAGUUUGAGAAAUGGCUCCAAAUUUUCCUUAAUAUUAUUCUGAAUUGCUCUAUGAAGUAAAUGUCAGGCAUUUUAUUUCCAUUUCCCUAAAAUAGAGAAUGGGUUGCUAGGGAAAAUGCCUAAGCCAGCCAUAAAGCAUUUCCAAAGGGAGGACAUAGUGAAUAAAAAAUGUUAAUUCCUGUCUUGUUUAACAAGCUCUCAUGGCAGCUCCAAGGGGUAGUAAAAUUUAUACUCCUACCAGGACAGCUCUAGACUAUGGCAUCAGCAUGGGAUGGAAAGUAGCCCUGGGAAACAGAAUAGUGUGGUUGCCUGCUACCCUUUACUUAUCUGAAUAGUUUGUCUCUGCUGUGCCCAGGAGGUUUGCACCUCAUGGGGUGGGAGGUGGUGCAAUCAGUGAACAACUUACAGGUUAAAAAACAAACCCAAAGAGAUUAUUUCCUGCAAAGAGCCUUUAGUAUGGUAGCACCUACUUCUAGAAGGCCUGUCAUAAACUGUCAUCUAGUGAAAGUGAUGAAGAAGAGUGGCUGGGAGUCAAUCUUAUCAGGAGCUGGAACAGGUGAAGCCCUCACCAGUGAAAAAUCUUGACAGAUGCAGCUACUAAGAUUUCCUACUACAAAGAAUAACAGCAGUUAGAAAAGCAGACUCCCUGUGGUGGCGACCAGUAUCUUCAAACUCAUACCAGAGUAAAGCCUUAUCCAUUUGGAGUUCUUUCUGAUGCAUUAUGUGAGAAAAACAAGCAAACAAAUGAACACUUAUUUGUAUUUGAAUUGCACUAAAUUUAUACAUGAAACUGAAAAAAACUGAUAUCUUUAUGAAGCUGCAUAAUCCUAUCCAAGGACAGACGUCUCCUUCCAUUUGCUUUUGCUUUACUAAUUUGAAUCUAUGUUAUUUGUUUUGGAUACAUCUGGAAUUGACUUUUUUGCAUGGUGUAAGAGCCAGCUCUUCUUCAGGAUAAGCAUGCCUGGUUUCUUCAACUUAUUCCACAAGAGUGAACAAGUAAGGUCUCCCCUGGACUAUUGUGUCUUCUACCUGAAAGUCAAGACUUCUUGCUGUCUUCUCUCCAUUCCAACCUCCAUGGGAAGAAGAGAUAAUAACAUUUUCUGGCUGUAUAAAAAAAAAGUACCAGGAAUUUUUUGUUGAUUGCAGAAAUAACAGUUCUUCCUGGAUCAGCCCUCUCCCGUCUGUCAUCUCCAACAGAUACAAAGCCAGCUUUAAGAAGACCAAACCUACAAAAAUCAUUCAUGCUUUCUGCCUCCAUGUUUUUCUUUCCAACCUAGUUCCUCCAGAAAAUGUAAAAGAGCAACCGAACCGUCAACUGGUACAAUGACUUCUACACAUCAGACCUCGGCCACGCCACAGUCAUCAGAUUAUUCUAUCACAGGGUCUCUCAACCGUGGAAUAUGGUCUCCAAGGGAAACAAGCCACAGAGGGCUCAGGAGCAUUGCUAUAAAGAGUAGGCAAAUGGAAAUCUUUCCCCAAAGGGCACACUGGGAUUGUUAGGCGAGGGCUGCUCAAUCCAUUAAAAGUUUAAACUCGAAAAAAAAAAAGAAAAAAAAAACCUUUUGAAAAAAUACAGAAAGCAACCUGUUCUAGAUUUUGUGUAUAAAAGAGAGUUUAUUCAGGGGACUGAAAUGUUGACAGUGAAUCAACUGGGAGGAUAUUUUCAAUCAGAACCGUCUGACUGACAGCUUUCAUAUUAUUAAUGCACAUACUAGGAGACAUCAAAUUUGAAGGGCAGGCAUUGUGCUAAGUCAGACUUCUACCUUAAAAUGCAUUACAUUUUGUCUGUAAAUCAAGGUCAGUUAUUAAAUUAAGGUGCUCUCAUCCCUAAAUACUUUAUUCCAUCAUCGUGUGUAAUUAAUCACAAACCCCUUACUUGGGGUUCUUUAGAAAGUGAUGAGCAAAACCCAUAAAAAAUUAAGAGAAAAAAUAACAGGUAUCUUUUAAAAAACAGGGAAUAAGUGCAAGGAAAUUUAAGUAUAAGUAAAAAAAUUUGCACGAUUCUUUAAAUAGAUAAUAGAUAUAAUAAUAAUAAUUUUGCAGCCCUACAAUUCCACAGCAUAUUAAUCUUUUCAAAUCUGUUAUUUUUCACCAUUAAAACAAUCAUGUAAAACAGGUGGAGUACUUCAAUAUUCCAAUUUCACAGAUGCAUACACUGAGUCAAGGAAAAGUUAAGUAUCUAUUAAGUCAUCCAGCUUACUGGAUAUGGAACUGAGACUUGAAAGCAUAUCUUCUAAAUCCGACCUCUUCUCUAAAGAUAGUGUCACCUUUCUCCAAAGAUAGUGUCAGGACAUAGAAAGCAGAAGUUAAACUGUAUGCGCUAUUCUGCCUUCCAUACUUAUUUUUCCCAAGAAGUAAUUUAAAAAACACAUUGGAGAUAAUGCUUGUGAAGCACUUUGCUAAAUGCUAAAUUGUCCGAACACUUUGGAAAAAAGUGGCAGUUUCUUAAAAAAUUAACAAAGAAUUACCAUAUGACCCAGCAAUUCCACUCCUAGCCAUGUACUGAGGAGAACUGAAAAUAUAUGUCCAUGUAAAAACUUAGAGUUAAAUAUUUGUAGCAGCUUUAUUUAAAAUAGCCAAAAAGUGGAAACAACCCCCCAAAAAUGUGCCUCAGUGAUGGAUGUAUAAAUAAAACAUGUUGUAUACAUAACAAUGAAAUAUUAUUUAGCCACAAAAAGAAAUGAAGUUUCUUUUUAUAUUAGUUGGCCAUAAAAAGAAAUAAAGAGUUUUUUGUUUUGUUUUGUUUUGUUUUUUUGUAGCAUGUACUGACCUGGAAAACCUCAUGCUAAGUGAAAGAAGGCAGUUACAAAGGACCACAUAUUUUUGAUACCAUUUAUAUAACAUGUCUAGAACAGGCAAAUCUAGAGAGAUGGAAAGUAGGUUAGUGGUUGGCUAGUACUAGAGUAAGCAAGCAGGGAUUGGAGGGUAUUGGCUAAGGAAUACAGGGUUUCUUUCUGUGGUGCUUUUCUUAAAAAGUUCUAAAAUUGAUUGUUGUGUUGUUUGCACAAUGCUGUGAAUAUCCUAAAAGCUACUGAAUGAUACACUUUAAAUGGGUGAAUUAUAUGGUAGGUAGAUUAUGUCUCAAUAAAACUGUUAAAAAACACAAAAGCAUACUCUGUUUCAAAUGUUGCCUAAGAUCAUCUCUGCAUUCAAAAGAGGUAAAAGAAACCCUCUUUCUUUACUUCCUUUACUUUUUCUUCUAUUAGUCUUCCCAGUUUUUAGGAUCCAGAACUCAAGUUCUUGUGAUAAGUUAUUUGCAAAGUACGAAGGAGUUUGCUCCACUUUGAUUUGCCUGAGAUCUAAACCCAGAUGUAGUAUUUUGAUGGGCAUUCUGAGUUUUCAACAUCUUACUGACAGGAAGACUGGCUGGAAGGACACAAUCCUUCUGUACAAAGGACACUGAGUAUUCUUUAAUCUUGUAUCUGUUUUUGUUUCUGUCUCUUACCUGGAUUCUUGUGUUGCAUUAUCCACACUUACACAUAACAAUUCAUAACACUUCAACUCCAAGCCAUUAGAUUGGGGAGGGUUAAAAAACCCUGUAGCCAGGCAUGAUGCCUCAGGCCUGUUAUCUCAGCAUUUUGGGAGGCCGAGGUGGGAGGAUGGCUUGUGGU